rnacentral:tRNA from 1 species
GCCCUGGUGGUGGAACUGGUAGACACGCAGGACUUAAAAUCCUGUGUCCACAAGGGCGUACGGGUUCAAGUCCCGUCUGGGGUA